rnacentral:rRNA from 1 species
ACCUACGGGGCGCAGCAGUGAGGAAUAUUGGUCAAUGGGCUUACGCCUGAACCAGCCAAGUCGCGUGAGGGAAGACUGCCCUAUGGGUUGUAAGCCUCUUUUGUCAGGGAGCAAUAGGCGCUACGUGUAGCGUUAUCGAGAGUACCUGAAGAAAAAGCAUCGGCUAACUCCGUGCCAGCAGCCGCGGUAAUACGGAGGAUGCGAGCGUUAUCCGGAUUUAUUGGGUUUAAAGGGUGCGUAGGCGGAAUGCCAAGUCAGCGGUAAAAUCGCGGGGCUCAACCUCGCUCCGCCGUUGAAACUGGCGU